GCUCUUCUCAAACCCUGGGUCGCUCUGUGUGAUCUUGUGGGACUUGAGCCACCUGCAUUCUUACAAUCAAAUCUUGAAGACGAUCUUUCUCCUUCUCAGUCACUUUCAUAUUUUACCAUAGCUCAGCUGAGUCUGGGGGACAUGAUUAGAUUGGCUCGGUAAUGGAGUGGUUUGGACCCCACUAAGUGAUGAUCGAUCUGCCUGCUGCUCUGGUGCUGUGCCGUGGACAUCAGCUCUAACCAAGAAGACACCGCUAGUGGGAGCACGCUUCCUGCUGAUGGCCGCUAUAGCACCUCCGGUCUGGAUCUGAAACAUCAGAACUAGCUUCUCUAAAACGAACACUUCAAGCAUACAAGCCUUUCUAAAGGAUUUCCCCGCUCCCUAGUUGAAGUGUAGAAAAAAAGAAAGAGAAGAAGAAAGAAGAAGAAGAAGAAGAAGAAGAAGAAGAAGAAGAAGAAGAAGAAGAAGAAGAAGAAGAAGAAGAAGAAGAAGAAGAAAACACAGCAGCAGCAAUAUCCAGAAGAGUAAAACACCAAACCCACCGUCGCCUUAUGGACACACACAUGCUUAAACCAUCGAUACUCUCAUGAUGCUCUCUCACAGCAGCUGCUGCCUAGGAGCAAUUACUAAAUCCAGAGCAGACAAAGGACCAUCAUCUGGGUCUGGUCCCAAUCAACACACUUCUAAUCAUGUCCUCCAGACUUGGUCUAACCAGAUUUUCCUCUAGAGUCAUGCAAGAUAGACAAGCCAUU
rnacentral:lncRNA from 1 species